UAAUCCCAUCUCAGAAAUACAUCCUUUAAAUUUUCUUCAAUGUGUAUUGUUAGGAAUAUUGUGUUUUGGGGUUCGUGUUCUAUGAUAGUUUUUCUUUUGCUCUCUGGAAAGAUAGUUUUUCUGCAUAUAAAAUUCUAGGUCCACAGUUAUUUUCUCUCAUCGCACUGAUAACAUUAUUUCAGUUACUUUAGGCUUCCACUAUUUUUUUAGAAGUCUUCUGUCCGUUUAAUUGCUGCUCCUUUGUCUUUUGUCUCUGCUUGCUUUAAACAACUUGUCUUUGUAUUUGGUUGCUACAAUUUCACAUGAUGUGAUUGAGGUGGAUUAUUUGUUAUUUAUCUCAUUUGUAAUUUGUUGGAGUUCUUGGAUCUGAGGUUUGCUAACUUUCAACAGUUCUAGAAAAUUAUCAGCUUUGACCUCUUCAAAUAGUUCCCCUUCUACAUUGUAUCUAUUAUAGUCUCAAAAUAGAUCUAAAUUAAUCUUUUUUAUUCUAACCACAAUGUCUCUUAAUCUCUCUUUACAUUUUUCAUCUCUUUGUCUGUUUGGGCUGAAUUUUAGAUAAUUUCUUCCAGUUUUCAAAUUCUCUAUCUAGUUGUAUCUAAUGUACUGUUUAACCCAAAUUAAAUCUAACCAAUUUUUGACAAUGCUAAUUAUUAUAUUUUUUAUUUCCAGAAGUUCUAUUUAAUUAUUUUUUAAUCUACUUGGUUGUUUUAAAAAUGUGUUUCUCCUAAAGGCUUAUAUUUUCAUGUCAUUUUUCACAUCUUAAAAAAUAUUAAACAUUUUUGUGUUAACCUAGUGUCUGAUAAUUCCAGGAGGUAGAACACAAUGCUGCUAUCUUGUUGUUUCUUCACACUUUUUUUUGUCUUUUUAGGGCUGCACCUGCAGCAUAUGGAGGUUCCCAGGCUAGGGUUGAAUAGGAGCUGCAGCUGCUGGCCUACACCAUAGCCACAGCAACACUUGAUCCUUAACCCACUGAGUGAGUCCAGGGAUUGAACCUGUGUUCUAGUUGGAUUUAUUUCCUCUGAGCCACAAUAGGAAUUCCAUGUUUCUUUACACUCUUAUUCAUGAAGCUUUAUUUCCUUGAGGGGUUUUGUAAAUUUUGAAAAGUGCAACUCAUUUUCUUUUAGAUUUUUUUUGUGGAAAUGCUUUGAGGCUUGAGUUGAAGCUCAGAUCAGAAAAAUCACACCAACCACAGAGUAAGAUUUUUUUGACCACUAAAAUAGUCUUAAACCUAGCUCUAAUCCUAUCUGAAGAAUGACUUCUACUGAGAAAUUCUCAAGGAAUUUUUUUCCCCUCUGCAUAGCACUGACAUCAUGGCAGGCAAGUUCCCAUGCCAGUCUCUUAGUUGUCAUAGAUUCUUGUUCUGAGACUGUAAUUCUUUGGGGUCCUGCUUUAUAGAUGUCUCCAUGGCACUCCUCACUAAAGGUGAGUCCUAGGUUUGCUCAGCCCCCUCCCACACCUUAAACAGCUGCAAAAUGGAGCUUUGUGGUUCCAGCUUCCACAGAUGUGCUUUAUUGCUUUCCAGGUUCCAGGUUUCAGUAAAGUUCUGGCCACCGUGUGCUUGUCAGCAAUAAUGUUUCAGCAGUGGUUGCGUUGGGUAUGGAAGCCAUUGGAAAGGUACAGAUCGGGGCCUUUCCCCACUCUGAGUCACCUUUACUUGCUUCCAUUUUCAAGUAGGGUUUAUGUGUCACUAAAAGAGACUUCUCUACUUAAAAACUGUUGAAAUAUUGAAAACCAUCAGUUGAGAUCAUUUUUGUUUGUUUGUUUUUUAGGGCUGCACCCAGGCUAAGGGUCAAAUCAGAGCUAUGGCUGCUGGCUAUGCCACAGCCACAGCAAUGCAGGAUCCAGGCCAUGUCUGUGACCUCCACCACAGCUCACAGCAACAUCAGAUCCUUAACCCACUAAGCAAGGCCAGGAAUCAAACCUCCAUCCUCAUGGAUACUAGUUGGGUUUGUUACCACUGAACCACAAUGGGAACUCCAGUUGAGAUCAUCUUAAAGGUCCUGUUCCUUUAAGAACAAUUACAAUUAUAUUUUGUAGUCCUGAGGAGUAUGCCAUAAUUGGAUGUCAAUGCAUCCAAUAUAUGAUUUUUAGCUUUGAGGUCUGUAGCUCUGAGAAAUGGUAAAGAUGUUGCUGUGCCUCCCAGAUGAGAAGUGGCCCCAGACCACUCUCAGCAGCUGCUGGUAGUGGAUUGUGUACAGCUAUGGGAGCACAGCACAGGAAAGCAUCAUGAUUACAUCACUGUUGGCUGUCAUGAGCCACAUAUGAGUCCUGGCACCUAUGUAGUGAUACUUGGUCAGCACAAUGUCCAGGGAAAACACCACCGCUGGGCUAACAUAGUGUCAUUAGCACUGUGUGGAUAAGUUGGGUGACCCUAGCCUGAGAAUAGCCCUGCACCCAGAUACCCAAAGUCCUGGACUCUGCACAGAUCCUCCAGAAGCAGUAGGUGAUAAGAGCUAUGCACAGAAACAGAAUGCACAAGAUGCAGGUGUGGGUGACAGCAACCUGGGGGCCCCUGCCUGGCUUGGUGCCCAGGCUCGGUGCCCAGGCUCAGCAGCAGGAUGCAUGAGGUCCCUCAUUCCACCAACCUGGCAUCCUCCUGCUUUUGACCCAAAUGAGAAAUGUGGGGAAAAAGCCAGCCACCAGCCAAAUGAGGGCCACCACCUUAUGGGCAGCCUCACAGGACAUGAAGGAGAAGUAAUGCAGAGCAUAAGCAACUGCCAGGUAGGUGUGUAGCAUGGUGGCCAUGAAGGACAGGAUGGUGCUGGUGUAGGCAGCGAAGAUGGCAUCUGAGAGAACAGCACAGGCGAUGUGGCCCAGGGCCCAGCUACUCAGGUUGCUGGAGGAGAUGAGCAUGUGAAAGACAACAUAGGCCAGAUCAGAGAGUAGGAUGUUAGCCAGCAACAGAUAGUGAGGGUCCUGCUGUAGCCUCUGGCUCCAUAGGAUGUUCACCAGCAGCAGGGGGCUCAGUGCUAGUGUUGCUGCAGCCAGCAGAGUUGAGGGAAGGAAGAGCCAAUGGAGCAUGGAGUCGGGCACCCUGAGGUCCCUGAGGCUCAGGGAGACAUUUCUGGCUCCCUGGGGCAUGCAGGGGGGCUCUCGGAUGAGCUGGUUGGAGGCUGGCCAGAUGGUUGUGCCCAGGGGGCAAAGUGCCAACUGAACCCCCAUGCUUCCUGGCGGAGAGGCAGGCUUUGUCACAAGUAGUUGGUUCUGUACCCACCCAGUGUAUGGAUCUCCCUUGCAGGGGUCCCGAUGGCACCUCUCCUCUGCAGAGAUGCUGGGCUUCAGCAGAUCUUAGGAAUGACUGUUUAACAAAAACAAAAACAACAAUGUAAAAUUCUGCUCCCCAUGGCUUCCUGCAUUCACGCAUGUCUCUACCAGCUGUCUGGCUGCAUGUUUGUGCGGUGUACACCUAAACUGAUCAGCCCAUUGCCAUGAUCUUUUGGCCACUGAUCUCCUGAGAAGUGUCACCCACAUCUGUCUGGUUGGCUAGCAGGGAGUAUACACAGAAGGCUCACAACUUUGGAUUGAAUUCUGGGGUGAGAGUCAGGCUGUUCUACCAGAAGGCAGGGAGCAGCCAUCUGGGAAGGAGGCUUGCCAGUCUGUGGGCAGGGCUCAGCCUCUGCUUGGAGCUGGACAGAGAAGAGGCUCAGGACAUGAGGCCAGGAUGGAGGGGCCUGGCUGUGCUCACACUCCUCACAAAGCCCUGGGGUACAAUCCCCAGGCAAAGGAUGAUCCCAUGUGUGCGUGUGUCCCAAAUCCCAAGUGCACAGGACCAGAAAGUGCUCAGCACCCCUGUGGGAGAUCCCUGCAUGCUGGAAAGUUCUUGCCCUGCUCUGACAGACAGAGGCCUUAUGGAACCCGAGUAUGGAGGGGCAACAGGAGAGGAAGGACUCGGAUGGGAGUCUUCAGGGCGGUUGGAACAUCUGGGGUUGUCUGAGGAUGUAAACAGGUCUGUGCACUCACCACAGGGUGGCUCCACUCAGGUGAGCAGGCUGACUGCCCUCAAGGUCCUGGCUGUGUGGCCUUGAGAAAUUUUGCUCAUCUCUCUAUGUUGUUUGUUUAUCUGUGAAACAUGGAUGCUGCAUGUGUGGAAAUGUGGCAAGAAUCCAGAGCCCAAGCUCCUAGUGCAGCGGGGUCCCCAGGAAAAUGCGCAUCCCUGUCAGCCGUCACCUCCCACUGCACUCCCCAGAGGCUGCUGUCUUCUCCGCCCCACAGACCCCUUGUUGUGCCCCUGGGACCUCCACCCUGCACAGUCCCUCUUCAGGUCAGCCUGUGGAGGAAGCUGCUUGGAGCUAGUGCCACACUGAGCACAGGCAGAAUGCUGUUGGGAUGGGGAGAAGGGGCAGGAAUUUCAGAUCACGAAUGCCACCUAGAUCAGAACCAGUGGGUGACACCCAGAACUCUGCCUCCCCUCUCAGCCAUGGACCCUUUGACCACGGCAGGUCCCCACCUCCUGCCUCCUUUCUCAUUCUCAGUGGCUCUGACUCUUGUCCUUUGUGGUGUGGUCUUGGCUGAAUAACUUUGCCCCUCUGGGCUUCCAUGACCCCACAUGGAGUCCAUAGUGACAAUGCACCCAUCCUGGAGGCAGGCUGCAGCUUACACAGGUGUCGGCGCUCACUGCCAGGUGGCCCCUCUCCUAGGUGUGCCUCACAGAUGGAGCCUUUCCACUUACACUGUGGGCUGCAAGUGAGGUGAGCAGACAGAGAAGCUGGACAGUCCGGGGCCAUCACCCUUAGAACUAGGACAGUUGAGGUACCAAUCCGGGAAGUAGGACUCCAGACUUGUUCUUCUCAAGAGGCCCUUUCUGGAGCAAGAGUGUCGUUCCAUGCCUCAGGGCUGGCCAAAGGCCCUGCUCCCCAGAGAGCCCCCAGCCCAGGGGCUGUGCCUUGCUGAGGGUCUGUUACAGCGUCUGCGGGAAGAGCAGCAGUGCCCAAGGUUUGAUGGCAGUAUAUGGUAGAGACUGUGUUAACUCUGAGAAAGCUCAUCUUCCUCCUUAGGAGAAACUGCAGUGCCAGGGGGCUGACGCCACUUCCCAAUCCCCUCUGCCAGGGCCUAUGCCCCUGAUCAGGGUUUUCCCCUGGCCCCUUCACUGGCUCCAGGCCUGGAGAGGGAGGAGAGCCCCUGGCCUUUGCAUAUGUACUCUGAGAGGCACCCUGCAUGUCACAGAGCUAGGCUGCUCUCUGCCAUGAGCCCAGCAGAAUGCCCCUCCCAGACCAUGGCUGUCAGUCUCACCCUCCAC
rnacentral:lncRNA from 1 species